CAGAACUUCGCCUUCUGUAGAAUACCAUCGAAUGUGAGGUUAUCAUUCGUCGCUCGAGAUGGUCAGUCAUGGCGGGUCAGGAAUGUGCGAUCGAUGUUUUACAAGGCAGUGUAAGACUAUGUUAAAAAUAGCCAAUUAGAAAAUAAUUAUGUGGGGUUGAUCGAGGUUUACCAAAUAUUGUGAUGGGCAGCGACUCAAGUAAACAUGAGAGACAGGUGGCAUGGCCUUCUCUCCAAUAUGGGAAUAUCCUUUACUGAUGGACUUCGCCACCUUGGCAGCGGAGCCCCAAUCCCUGAGGACCUCCUCCACCCAGGAAACAGCCCUUAGAAGCCUGUCAUGGAGUGGACUCUCCCUGGCUUCAUCUGUCUUUCUGCCUGAGUUCCCACACUGUAAAUUCCCUGUGCAAGACGAUUUCCAGAUCCUGGGCUGCAUAGCCAAAGGCUCCUUUGGUCCUAUCUUGAAAGUAAAGGACAGGUCGAAGGAGAAGACCUUUGCAGUUAAGGUUUUACCCAAGUCUGAGAUACUGAAGCAUGGGGUCCUGGAACAGUCAAAGGAGGAGGUCACACUGCAGGAUGACCUGGAAAGCUGCUAUCCUAGCUUAGGGCCUGACUUAGUUUAGGGGAUAACAUGCUGGAAACAAUGACUCACUGAGGUCUAACAAUGACUAUGACGAUUCUCCCUAUGAGCUUCUGUGCAACAACAACCAUGGUCCCAUGGAGCUUUUGCAAAACAAAACAAAACUUUGCCAUCAUUGAAGAUACCUGGUUGGAUUCAGGAUCCCUCCUAAAUCACAUUUAGUUCUACUGAGUGUCUUUGCUGACAUCCACACUGUUGCUGCUGCUGUGUGUGUUGCCUGUUGCGUUGCAGCGGCAGGUCAGCCACCCAUUCUUCCACAAUCUGCAGGACUGCUUGCAGACCCAGCGCCACCUCUUCAUUAGUGAAUGACUAAUGUGAUAUAGCUAGAUCCCUCCUUCCCCUUCGUUUUAUCCGCUCCUCUCUUUACCCUCCCUGUGUCUCACGUAGGAGCUUCCCACUGGGCACAGACGUCAAUUCAACGUCUAUUUCACGUUGGUUCAACCUAAUUUCAACCUAAUUUCAUUGAAAUUACGUGGAAACAACGUUGUUUCAACCAGUGUGUGCCCAAUGGGUUGUCUCGCUCUCCCUAGCAGGAGUGUCAACUAUGGCAUUAUCUGGCCUUGCUGCUAUUUAGUGUUGUCUCCUCAGUUUGAGCCCCAUGACUCGUCUGAAGAAUUAUACUGCCAUCUACUGAGAUUUCAGUGUGUAGCAUACAGUUAUGUGGCCUCUGAACAGGUUUUCCCUUCCUUUUGGUUUAUUAAUAACACCCUUAUUAGUGGAUAAAGGCAUGUUUGACUUCAUUUGUGUCUCUGACUGACACUUAGCUCCUUCCCCAGCAUCACCCCUUUCCCUUCCUACGCUUCCCCCAGCCUUAAAAAGCGUCCAACUGUUUGACUUCCGACAAAUUAAUUGUUUUCUCCUAUUGCUUCUCUCCUCCAUUGCUCCUUCCUUUUCAAGUGCUUGUGUUUCAGCAGGGGUCAUCUACUCCCAGCCCUGGAUCAGUGUACUGUACAUAGCCUUGUUAUGUACUAAGAUGGAUCAUUGUGUUUGACUGUGUCUGUCUUCCCACAGUGUGUGACUACUGCAGUACUGGAGACCUGUAUACCUACUGGAUACUGAAGGGCCAGUUUGGGGAGGAUGAGGCUCGGGUAUUUGCUGCAGAGCUAGGCUGUGCUUUGGGUUUCCUUCACGACUUUGGGAUCAUGCAUAGGGAUGUGAAGAUGGAGAAUGUCCUUCUGUCUGACCAAGAACCCAGCCCAUAGCCUGGAGCGCUUCAAAAGGCAGACGUUUUUCCAUAGCACUUCCAUUGACUCUCAGCUACUACAGAAGAGACCUGUUGAACUAAUUCUACAACUGAAGAACCUUCCUGAUCGUCCAGUCAAAGCCACGCGGGGCCUGUCUAUGGACUACUUCCAGAACUUUGACUGUGACAUCCUCCACUCCCCUACCAGCCCCACUGACAUGUCACCUACCUUGGCCAACAUUAACCUGAGCCAGGCCCUGGUUACAGUUCAGGGUUCUAGCAAAUGAGAUGUGCCUGUGCUACUGUGCCUCAAUACUGCCUGCAAAUUAAUGGAAAGAUUUCAUAUACACAUUUUGUACCACAUGGAUACUUGGUUGUGAAAAAGCUACUGUACAGUGCAUUUGGAAAGUAUUCAGACCCCUUGACUUUUUCAACAUUUUGU